CGCGUAGGCGGGCUUCCAGGCCCGUGGUGAAAUCCCCCGGCUCAACCGGGGAAGUGCCGCGGGGACCGGGGAGUCUGGAGUGAGAUAGGGGCGUGCGGAACUGUGGGUGGAGCGGUGAAAUGCGUUGAUAUCCACAGGAACUCCGGUGGCGAAGGCGGCACGCUGGAUCUCUACUGACGCUGAGGCGCGAAAGCCAGGGGAGCGAACG
rnacentral:rRNA from 1 species